rnacentral:lncRNA from 1 species
UCGAUCACAGUAGGUCAGUAGGCCUACGAAAUUCACCAAAAUCUCAUCUCAAACUCUUAAAAUGCUCAACUCAACAUUCCUUCAAGGAAACUCAUCAAAGCUCAUUUUAAACACAUAUAACACUCACAAACAUUCAGGCACAUUAUAAUGCUCAUCAUACUCAAAUCUUGACUCUCUUCUUACAUCAUAACCUCAAAUCUCUAGUAAAACGUUUCAAUGAACGCAUCAUUAAAAUUCUC